rnacentral:pre_miRNA from 1 species
GCUGUACUCCCUCCGUUCCGAAUUACUUGUCGCAGGUAUGGAUGUAUCUAGAUGUAUUUUAGUUCUAGAUACAUCCAUUUCUGCGAUGAGUAAUUUGGAAUGGAGGGAGUACAAA